UAAGCAUAUCAAUAAGCGGAGGAAAAGAAACUAACAAGGAUUCCCCUAGUAACUGCGAGUGAAGCGGGAAAAGCUCAAAUUUAAAAUCUGGCAGUCUCUGAUUGUCCGAGUUGUAAUCUAGAGAAGUGUUACCCGCGUUGGACCGUGUAUAAGUCUCCUGGAAUGGAGCGUCAUAGAGGGUGAGAAUCCCGUCUUUAACACGGACUACCAAGGCUUUGUGGUGCGCUCUCAAAGAGUCGAGUUGUUUGGGAAUGCAGCUCAAAAUGGGUGGUAAAUGCCAUCUAAAGCUAAAUACAGGCGAGAGACCGAUAGCGAACAAGUACCGUGAGGGAAAGAUGAAAAGAACUUUGGAAAGAGAGUUAAACAGUACGUGAAAUUGCUGAAAGGGAAACGCUUGAAGUCAGUCGCGUUGGCUGGGAAUCAACCUUGCUUUUGCUUUGGUGUACUUUCCAGUCGACGGGUCAACAUCAAUUUUGAUCGGUGGAUAAGGUCGUGAGGAAUGUGGCAUCUUCGGAUGUGUUAUAGCCUUGUGUCAUAUACAUUGAUUGGGAUUGAGGAACUCAGCACGCCGAAAGGCCAGGUUUCGACCAUGUUCGUGCUUAGGAUGUUGGCAAAAUGGCUUUAAUCGACCCGUCUUGAAACACGGACCAAGGAGUCUAACAUGCCUGCGAGUGUUUGGGUGGAAAACCCGAGCGCACAAUGAAAGUGAAAGUUGAGAUCCCUGUCGUGGGGAGCAUCGACGCCCGGACCAGACCUUUUGUGACGGAUCCGCGGUAGAGCAUGUAUGUUGGGACCCGAAAGAUGGUGAACUAUGCCUGAAUAGGGUGAAGCCAGAGGAAACUCUGGUGGAGGUACCGUAGCGAUUCUGAGCGUGCAAAUCGAUCGUA
rnacentral:rRNA from 1 species